AGAGAAGUGCUCAAAUCACCACAGCUGGUACUGUUUAGAUGCCUUACUAGUAACCUCAUGGAAGCCAAGGCUAUGUCACACCUGAAAGAAAAGGCUGUGGGGAAAGAAAUAAUUCUGAGUCAGCUUAACAGUCUUCCUCCUGAAGAGAAGGUAGAAUAAGUGUGGCCUUCACAAAGUAGGCUGAAAUCACUUUCUGGAGUGUCCUGCAGAUGUGAUGACUUUAUGCUGAAGAACUGUUGAUGGUGUGACCAUGGGUCUGGAGUGGAGCUGUGCAGAGAUAUCUGCAGAUCUGGAGAGAAACUGUGUUGAUAACACACCCGUGUUUUUGCUGUUGCUGACCAGUGCUGCACAGAGCUGAAGAUAUCUCAGCUUUUCAGCUUCUUGUGCUGUCCCAGCAGCAUUAUGUUGUAUUGAAUUGUGUUUUGGUGUGGAAGAUGAAGAGAAAAACAUCAACUUUCUGCCCUCUCAUAUUCACAAGGAGAUGCAAACUAAGCACUGUGGCAAGCAAAUCCUUCCAGGAUGAUCUGACAGAGCUGAAGAAGUUAUUGUUCAUCAGUACUGGAUCUUUCUUUAGCUACCACCUGCAACCUGAGCUGACAGAAGGGACCAGAUCCAGGGUUUUAUUUCCUUAACCUCAGUGUGGUGUUGUAGCACACAUCAUUUAUUUCAGAAUGCAUUUCCCCCUUCUAACAACUGGUGCUCUGUUUUGGAAGCAAAGGGAGUAACUCCACACAGAGCUAGCAGACUGCAGUUGCUCCAUUUGUAUUAAGUUAAGCUUGUGGUCCUGUUAUUCCCUCUUCACUCUCAAGAUGCACAUUAUAAAGUUAGACCAGGAAGAAAACAGCACUUCCCACUUCUGUUUAGCCAUCUCCUCAAAUCUUGUUGUAUGGACUGUUUCAAUAAGGAUCCCCAGGGGCCUCCUCCCUUCUAGUGCAGUCUGUGGAGUUAAACCAAUAUGUGCGUUGGAGCCAAGACUGUUAUGCUACUGUAAUUGUCAAAUUUGAAAUCAAUGCCUUUUUUCCCUCAUGAGCUCUUCUUUUCUCAAUAAACAAGAAUUUGGCUGCAAAAAAAAAAGGCUCUGCAUAGAGACCAUUUCAUAACAGUCUCUUAUGUGAAAUGAGGCUUUGAUUUUCCUAAAUGGGCCACUGAACUUUCCUCUCAGGAAAGCAAACCCUACAUUUAACCACAAGAAGAGGCAUUUCCAGUGCUCUUUCAUAUCAGCAUAGCAUCAGUUUUAAGUAAUUUAAUGUAACUUGCUGUGUUCUCCAAUGUGAUAGGAUUUGCACCAUUUUUUUUGUUAGACUGCGAUGUUUUCUGGGAUGAGUAGAACAAUUGUGUCAGGCUGAGGUCACUCAUACUAGAGAGAAUUGCUUGAAUUUAGCAGUAUAUGGCUGAAGGGGCAUUAAUCUUAAUCAUCUUCCAAUUGAUAGAAGGUGGUAUCAAUUCUUGGCACUUCCAUUCUUCCAUGAAAGUGGGAACAAAGCUAGGGACCAUUUUGGUUCUCCUUUUGUCUCUGUACUCUAACAGAGUGAAAUGGUCACCAGGGCUCUUUAAAAAUUUUGCUAUGCCUCUGAGAUAUUGAAAUCAUCUCUCUGCACAUAAUUCUAAACUGACACGCAGUUACUUGGCUCUGACUUCAUGUAUGGCCACAACACAAUCAUGUUAUGCCAUCUUAUGGCUGGAUGAGACCAGAUCAGUUCUUGUAUGCAUUGCUUUCCUUCUGGCUUUAGAGAUUAAUAAUAACGCAUGCAUUACAACUCAUCUCAGUGAAGUAAUUAUGUGUAAUUGCAUAAUUACCCGUUGCAGUUGUUUGACUUACUGGCAUUUGUACUAAUUAAACUAAUGGUAUGCAAAACUACAAAUUAAUUUAAAAUAAGAAAAGCACUGAGCACCGCCUCUUGAGGGUGUGUAUAUGCAG
ensembl:lncRNA